rnacentral:rRNA from 1 species
UGAAUACGAGACGCUAAGGCGUCGAAGUAGUGUAUGUCAUACUUCCAAGAAAAGCUUGCACUGUCAUAGAUAAAAAACGCCUGUACCAUAACCGACACAGGUGGGUAGGUAGAGUAUACUAAGGGGCGCGAGAUAACUCUCUCUAAGGAACUCGGCAAAAUAACUCCGUAACUUCGGGAGAAGGAGUGCCUUAUUCGUAAGGUUGCAAUAACAAGAUCCAAGCAACUGUUUAUCAAAAACACAGGUCUCCGCUAAGUCGUAAGACGAUGUAUGGGGGCUGACGCCUGCCCAGUGCCAGAAGGUUAAAGAAGUUGGUUAGCAAUUGCGAAGCUGAUAACUGAAGCCCUGGUGAACGGCGGCCGUAACUAUAACGGUCCUAAGGUAGCGAAAUUCCUUGUCGGGUAAGUUCCGACCCGCACGAAAGGCGUAAUGAUUUGGAUACUGUCUCGGAGAGGGGCUCGGUGAAAUAGACUUGUCUGUGAAGAUGCGGACUACCUGCACCAGGACAGAAAGACCCUAUGAAGCUUUACUGUAACUUGAAAUUGAAAUUGGACUUUAUUCGCGCAGUAUAGGUGGGAGGCGUUGAUUAUAAUCUUGUGGGAUUAUUGGAGCCAUCAGUGAGAUACCACUCUUGUAAUGUUAGAUUUCUAACUUUGAAUCAUUAUCUGGUCAAAGAACAGUUUCAGGCGGGCAGUUUGACUGGGGCGGUCGCCUCCUAAACGGUAACGGAGGCGUACAAAGGUUUCCUCUGAACGGUUAGAAAUCGUACCUAGAGUGUAAAGGCAUAAGGAAGCUUGACUGUGAGACCUACAAGUCGAGCAGGGACGAAAGUCGGUCUUAGUGAUCUGACGGUACUGAGUGGAAAGGCCGUCACUCAACGGAUAAAAGUUACUCUAAGGAUAACAGGCUGAUCUCCCCCAAGAGUUCACAUCGACGGGGAGGUUUGGCACCUCGAUGUCGGCUCAUCGCAUCCUGGGGCGGUAGUACGUCCCAAGGGUUGGGCUGUUCGCCCAUGAAAGCGGUACGCGAGCUGGGUUCAGAACGUCGUGAGACAGUUCGGUCCAUAUCCGGUGUAGGCGUUAGAAUAUUGAGAGGAGCCUUCUUUAGUACGAGAGGACCGAGAAGGACAUACCUCUGGUGUACCAGUUAUCGUGCCAACGGUAAACGCUGGGUAGCUAUGUAUGGAGUGGAUAACCGCUGAAAGCAUCUAAGUGGGAAGCCCACCUCAAGAUAAGUA